rnacentral:rRNA from 1 species
UACGGGGGGGCAAGCGUUGUUCGGAAUUACUGGGCGUAAAGGGCUCGUAGGUGGCCAACUAAGUCAGACGUGAAAUCCCUCAGCUUAACUGGGGAACUGCGUCUGAUACUGGAUGGCUUGAGUUUGGGAGAGGGAUGCGGAAUUCCAGGUGUAGCGGUGAAAUGCGUAGAUAUUGGGAAGAACACCUGAGGCGAAGGCGGGUUGCUGGGCUGACACUGACGCUGAGGCGCGAAAGCCAGGGAGCAAACGGG